AAGGUAUCCCUCCGGGUCAACAGCGUCUUCUUUUCUCAGGAAAGCAGCUGGAGGAUGACAAGACCUUGGUUGAUUAUCAAAUACAGGAUGAAGCUACGCUCCAUCUUGUUCUGCGCCUUGCAGCAGAGCCAGCCAGCAAAACGG
rnacentral:ribozyme from 1 species